AAAUGUGAUAAAUGUCCCUCAAAGCAUCAAUAAGCCUGCAGUUCCCUGGCGCUCUGCCAAGACACCGCGAGGCUCUGACGACGAAACGACUUCACGAGCGUCCUCCCACGCCCGCGAGCUGUCCGGUGCAGUGGAUAACCUGCAGUCUCAGGUGCAGCCACGCGUCCCACGUGCGCAGGAUUGCGGCAGGUGGGGCCUUUAAUCAUUCGUUUUUGCUUAGCAUGCGACCGCUUCUCAAACAAGACAGUCACUGUUGAUUUACGAGCUCAAGCCAGAUUCACCUUUUACACCCAACCAUGGGCGCCUCGGGCCGCAGAAACAUACCGGUCAGUAGUCCCGCGCGCUCCAACACCCAGCACAUUACCGAGCAGCCAAGCAGAACGCGGGAUUUCAGCGCGAGCGUAUGGCCGCAUCCCCAAAGCCACGUAGAAACGAAGUGGACAAGCGCGCGUUUAUUCUCCAUGCACCGACACGCAGCGCGGGGCUCCCGGGCGCCGGCUCCGCGCGCUUAUCGAACUGUUUUCCGCUAAACCCUUCGUGUGUUCCUCAGAUUAAUCGGAAAUCCUGCCGUAACCCGUUCCUGGUUUUACGCACCAGCGGCACGCUGGUCUCCGAACUGCACGCGGAAAGGCAGCCACCGGAAAAACGGACGACACAACACAUUUGACUUUUUUUUUAAUUCGGGCAACAGCUGAACGUGUUCACGAGGUUUAUGCUUCACAUCACAAAGCUCACGCUCGCCUUUUGAAUAAUAAACAGGAAAAAAGCAAAGCAGCUUUGUACGGCGAACGUUCUUCAAGGAUCUCUAGUGCUUCCGAGGUCCAACAUAUAGGAGCACAGAGAAACAUUUACGAUCACAACACGGAAACGUUACAUGUGGCUUUAGCUGGCCAGAGCUGACCUGACGUGCACGGUUAGUAGGUUAAAUUAGCGAGGUAAUUAUCUAACCCAGCUUAGAUGUGUCAGAUACGGAAACGACGACGUUUAUGCGUGGCUCCUAAAGUAAAAUCACAUUCGUAAGGAAGGGGAAGCGCGCGCGUUUUGCUCGCUCUGCAGAAGCUGGGUGAAUUUACAGACCGAGGGCACGCGACUGCGGGGUCACGGCACAUCACAGUCGGACGCCUGUGUGAACAAAGAUGUUUUCCCUCGAGAUCCUCUUCAUCGUGUGUGGGUGUGGACACAGUCUCCCAGAGGAAUACCCAUGAGAGCCGACCCUGAGAGAGAACCCCUCAGAUGUAGAGAGCAGCUUUCUACAGACCCUCAUCAGAGCAGGGACCCUCACUCCUACUCUCCAGAUGCAGGGCCUGUCUCCUCUAUCACCCCACCCUUCUCCUCCACCCAUCACCCCAACUCCAUCUAUCUCCUCCACUCUCAACCUUUCACCCCUUUUACACUCAGUGGCUCAGUGAAUGUUGAUGUCAGGGGGAAACUACCAACCCUCUCUGACUAUCGACUGGUGUUCCAGGACAUGUGUGUACUGUUCCUCUUUUCAAGGCAUUAUUGAUCAUGAUGAAUCAUUAUUUAACAUUAUUUUGCUUUACUAUUGAUGCUGGUGCCAGAUGUGUAUAUAAAUACAUAUGUGAGAAUGGAGUCUUAUUAUACCACUCCAAACCUUAGUCUUGGUAAAUCUUUUAUUUGCAAGUUUAGCAAACUAUGAAUUAAAUUUACAUUUCUUGAAUGUCUGGGGAGGGAUGAGUAAAGUUACACCAAGCUGAACAGUAAGGAAGGAGGAGUCUCACCCUGGACCUACUGUGGAUUAAAAUAAAUAAAUAAAUAAACAUUUAAUUAAACAAACAGGUAUUGGAGUCACACACACACACACACACACCAGCAAUCUUGUAAAAUUUCAGUUGGGAAUUGUGUUAAUGUAUGAAUAUCACUCAAAGACAAUAUUGUAAUUGCCAGGUUUUACAAAAGUCUCGUGCCAUAUAAGUGUGGUUCGGUUUGAAUAUCGAAACCAAGGCAUCUGUAGCGCUAGGCCAAGGGAACCACUACGGGAGUUUGUUUGUUUAUGUCAAAAAUUUUACUCAAUUGUGUUAUCCUGGCUAACACUUAAUGAAUAAUUCAUCAGUCAAAUUUGAAUAAGAGCUACCAGACGAAGCGUCUCUCCAGUAUCUGUACACACUCAUCCAAUUAUGAGGAACAGACUAAUGAAAAAAACCCUAAUUUGCUGUUCACAUGAGUGUUAUUUGUGUUCAAAAACAAGAAUAUUUGUCCUAAUUGGGGUGAAUAGUUGAAGAAGUAAAAUAAGAUAUGUAAACUGUUUAAAAUGUUUGAAUACUGUUUUAAAACCUGAUUAAA